rnacentral:lncRNA from 1 species
AGGAGAUAUAACUGGAUUUUGCAAUUCUAGAUCCCUCAAAAGCAAAGACUCUCAGAAGGACCAGAAGAAAGGACUAAAAAUUCUUGGACAACCCUGAAACCCAUGGAGUGGCAGAGAUGAGGAACCUCUUUGGAACAAGCAGGCCGCAAUGAUCUUAACACAAUUCCGGGUCAUCUCACAGUCAACUUCUCCAAAUAACAGAGAGAACAGACUCACAAAACAAACAUAGCAGCCUUGGUGGAGUUUUGUAAAGGUGAGAACAAUUUCCUUUUUCUUCCCAUUCUCAACCCUUAUCUGGAAAUCUGCAUUUCUCACUGCAAGUUAAAGAUCUGUAUGUGAUCCUUAAAAGCCUUU